rnacentral:rRNA from 1 species
GGUUAAGCGACUAAGCGUACACGGUGGAUGCCCUGGCAGUCAGAGGCGAUGAAGGACGUGCUAAUCUGCGAUAAGCGUCGGUGAGGUGAUAUGAACCGUUAUAACCGGCGAUUUCCGAAUGGGGAAACCCAGUGUGUUUCGACACACUAUCAUUAACUGAAUCCAUAGGUUAAUGAGGCGAACCGGGGGAACUGAAACAUCUAAGUACCCCGAGGAAAAGAAAUCAACCGAGAUUCCCCCAGUAGCGGCGAGCGAACGGGGAGCAGCCCAGAGCCUGAAUCAGUGUGUGUGUUAGUGGAAGCGUCUGGAAAGGCGCGCGAUACAGGGUGACAGCCCCGUACACAAAAAUGCACAUGCUGUGAGCUCGAUGAGUAGGGCGGGACACGUGGUAUCCUGUCUGAAUAUGGGGGGACCAUCCUCCAAGGCUAAAUACUCCUGACUGACCGAUAGUGAACCAGUACCGUGAGGGAAAGGCGAAAAGAACCCCGGCGAGGGGAGUGAAAAAGAACCUGAAACCGUGUACGU